UACGUAGGGUCCGAGCGUUGUCCGGAAUUAUUGGGCGUAAAGGGCUCGUAGGCGGUCUGUUGCGUCGGGAGUGAAAACUUACAGCUUAACUGUGAGCGUGCUUUCGAUACGGGCAGACUUGAGGCAUUCAGGGGAGAACGGAAUUCCUGGUGUGAGCGGUGAAAUGCGCAGAUAUCAGGAGGAACACCGGUGGCGAAGGCGGUUCUCUGGGAAUGUCCUGACGCUGAGGAGCGAAAGCAUGGGGAGCGAACAGG
rnacentral:rRNA from 1 species